rnacentral:tRNA from 1 species
GCAGUGGUGGUCCACUGGGAGAAUUCUCGCCUUUCACGUGGGAGACCUGGGUUCGAGUCCCAGCCGGGGCA